GGAAGGGAAGCGUCCCCGGUGGGAUGCCCGGGCUUCAAACCCGGCGGGUUGCGCCAAGCGCGGCCGGUGGGUUCGACUCCCUCUCCCUUCCGCCA
rnacentral:tRNA from 1 species